UACGUAGGGGGCAAGCGUUGUCCGGAAUUAUUGGGCGUAAAGAGCUCGUAGGCGGUUCGGCAAGUCAGCUGUGAAAUCUCCACGCUCAACGUGGAGGGGUCAGCUGAUACUGCUGUGACUUGAGUCCGGUAGGGGAGUGUGGAAUUCCCGGUGUAGCGGUGAAAUGCGCAGAUAUCGGGAGGAACACCAGUAGCGAAGGCGGCACUCUGGGCCGGUACUGACGCUGAGGAGCGACAGCGUGGGGAGCAAACAGG
rnacentral:rRNA from 1 species